AAAGAAAAUUGAUUUUUUUUUUUUAGCAUAGGCCUUGAUUGUAGUAGUCAUUUUGAUUGAAUAUUUGUUUGCUGCUAUUAUAUAAUGGCUGAAGUUAUUUUUAUUGAUACUAGACAUAUGUUUUAACCCUUAUUAGGAUAAUGACGAAACCAACCACAAUAAGAAAUGGACUAGAUUCUAACUCAAGGCCAAGUAAGCAUGUGUAUGUAAAACCUGGUGCAUUGAGUAUGAUGCGCGGACUGGGUUUGAGAUUAGUAUGCUCCCAAAAUGCUAAUGGUGCACAGAGCUCUUCUAAAACAUCUUUGUAAUACCCUCACUGUAUCCAUUCCGUACAAUUUACUGUUCCGAUAAUCGAUGUCGGUCCGGACAGCUAGAACG
rnacentral:misc_RNA from 1 species